rnacentral:rRNA from 1 species
UACGUAGGGUGCGAGCGUUUGUCCGGAAUUACUGGGCGUAAAGAGCUCGUAGGCGGUGUGUCGCGUCGGCCGUGAAAACCUGCAGCUUAACUGUGGGCUUGCGGUCGAUACGGGCAUCACUGGAGUUCGGCAGGGGAGACUGGAAUUCCUGGUGUAGCGGUGAAAUGCGCAGAUAUCAGGAGGAACACCGGUGGGCGAAGGCGGGU